rnacentral:rRNA from 1 species
UCCAGACUCCUACGGGAGGCAGCAGUGGGGGAUAUUGCACAAUGGGGGAAACCCUGAUGCAGCGACGCCGCGUGGGUGAAGAAGCGCCUCGGCGCGUAAAGCCCUGUCAGCAGGGAAGAAAAUGACGGUACCUGAAGAAGAAGCCCCGGCUAACUACGUGCCAGCAGCCGCGGUAAUACGUAGGGAGCGAGCGUUAUCCGGAUUUAUUGGGUGUAAAGGGUGCGUAGACGGGAAGUUAAGUUAGUUGUGAAAUCCCAAGGCUCAACUUUGGAGCUGCAACUAAAACUAAAUUUCUUGAGUACUGGAGAGGAAAGUGGAAUUCCUAGGGUAGCGGUGAAAUGCGUAGAUAUUAGGAGGAACACCAGUGGCGAAGGCGACUUUCUGGACAGAAACUGACGUUGAGGCACGAAAGUGUGGGGAGCAAACAGGAUUAGAUACCCCGGUACG